CUGGAGCGGACGGACGGACGGAUGGCCGGCAUCCCCGACGGAGGGAUGUUUCUGUCUUUGGUUAUCUAGCUGUAUGAGUGUUGUGGAGCCAUCAUAAAGCUAGAUAACCGAAAGUAGAAAUGACUUCCAGACCUGCUCGCCCGGGGGAAGCGGCCGCACCAGGACCGGCGGUACAGAGACGAGCCGACCGGCCGCCCUCGGGGCUCCAGACAUGACUGGGAGUUCACGGAGUGGGAUGCCUUGGGAAGGGCUGGGACGUCUUCACCUGAGCAAGGAGAGAUCCCAAGGAGUGGAGAAGGGACUUUUCAAGUCUGGGAGUUCCUUCUUGCAGUUGACUACCACCUGUCUGGACUUGCCGUCUGACAUCUCCACAUUUCUCCAGGAGGGUCCCGACCUGCUUCUCCGAUCGUCCCAGGAAUGAGGCGACUUUGGCUCAUGGACACAGAGGGUUUCUGCGCCAUGCUGGUUCAGCCAUGGGGAGGGAGUCAGGGCAGCACAGGGAGC